AUUGAACGCUGGCGGCAUGCCUUACACAUGCAAGUCGAACGGCAGCACGGGAGCAAUCCUGGUGGCGAGUGGCGAACGGGUGAGUAAUAUAUCGGAACGUGCCCAGUCGUGGGGAUAACGUAGCGAAAGCUACGCUAAUACCGCAUACGAUCUAUGGAUGAAAGCGGGGGAUCGCAAGACCUCGCGCGAUUGGAGCGGCCGAUAUCAGAUUAGGUAGUUGGUGAGGUAAAGGCUCACCAAGCCGACGAUCUGUAGCUGGUCUGAGAGGACGACCAGCCACACUGGGACUGAGACACGGCCCAGACUCCUACGGGAGGCAGCAGUGGGAAUUUUGGACAAUGGGCGCAAGCCUGAUCCAGCAAUGCCGCGUGCAGGAUGAAGG
rnacentral:rRNA from 1 species